rnacentral:lncRNA from 10 species
AUUUUUGUAUUUUUAGUAGAGACGGGGUUUCGCCAUGUUGGCCAGGAUGGUCUCAAUCUCCUGACCUUGUGAUCUGCCUGCCUUGGCCUCCCAAAGUACUGGGAUUGCAGGCAUGAGUGACUGCACCCGGCCACACCCAGGUACAAUUGUAAGUGACAAUCCAGCCAGCCAGAGGCGAGGACUAACCCAGGACUCUUGGGAUGGCUGUGGGAGGCCACUCCAGGCAGGGAGUGAGGCACGGUCCAGGCCACGUCCCUGGGGGUGAGCAAAGUCGCCUGAACUCUUGGGGUUUCGGGGCUGGUACAGGCUCCUAUGUCCUGGCCUGUGUUACAAUGAGUAGGUGGGACUCCACAGGUGCCCACAGUAAGGUCACCUACACUAACACAGGGGACCCCACGUGUCCCUGGAAUUGUCUGCCUGUAGGAGCAGUGACUUGGUUGUGAAUGACCAAGUCCUCACCUAUCCUGCCAGGGAGGAGGCCUCCCUCUGUUAAAGACCGGGAAGCUGAAGCUGACACAGCAAAGUCCCUCAAGGGUCCCCGCUUCAACCCAGCCAGGCCUGACCUAAACUCUCUCAACUUCCACCCAGGGCAGCCCCCACCUUGCACAGCUCCACACUGGCCGCCCCUUCCUUGCUCUGGUUGCCCUGUGAGGGUCCCGAGUGUCCUCACAGACCCUAAUUUUAAAAGAGCUUCACGGGGAUUCAGAACGAUAAAGAGGGCUUUGCACCUGCGAGAGCCGGGGUGAAGCUGGGCUCCCGCCCUUAUUAGCUCAUAGCAAGCAGGACUUGGGUCCCCUACCUGUAAAAUGGGGUGGCCGGCAGUGACUGUGUGGUCCUGCGACAGUGUGAUGAGCCGGCCAACUGCAAAGUGUGGUGCCUGGGAAGGGCCGUGUGCAGAAACCCCUGGCUUGCGGUGGAUGCCACUGGGGGCCCCACUCCUUUCUGGGGCAGGCACCUCUCCCCACCUGCUGUGAGGGGGGCUAACAGCUCUCAGAGUGUCUUCCCCAGAGCUGACCCACUGACAAAAGCCCUCUGGGCAGAAAUGACUGGGACACUGUGUGUAUGUGUGCGUGCAUGCAAGUAUGUGUGUAGUGUGUAUGUGCACGUGUGUAGUAUGUGCGUGCGCACGUGUGUAGUGUGUAUGCGUGUGCACGUGUGUGGUGUGUGUGUGCAGUGUGUAGUAUGUGCGUGUGCACGUGUGUGCACGUGUGUAGUAUGUGCGUGCACACGUGUAGUGUGUAUGCGUGUGCACAUGUAGUAUGUGCGUGCACACAGGCAUGUGUGUAGCGUGUGCGUGCACACGUGUGUGGUGUGUAUGCAUGUGCACGUGCAUACUAUGUGCGUGUGCACAAGUAUGUGUGUAGUGUGUAUGUGCGUGUGCGUGCUGGGGGUGGGCACAGCCCCAGGCUGGCCGACACAGGGUGUAAAGGCCCAGCCCUGUGCCCAAGAGGAACGGGUCUGCAGCUUGAGCUCUCCUGCACCCACAGCUCUGACCAGCUGCUCCCCGGUCCCUGGCCCUGACAGGCUUCUCCUCUGAUCGGGCCCUUCCUUAAGUCUCGUGCCCCUAAAUCCUCAUCUCAUGCUCUGCCUGUGGGGACCUGAGCCCAAUUACUGCCCCACGGUCCCCAUGCCCGACCCUCUGCCCACUGUGCCCACCUGCAGCACCAGCAGCAUCUGCACGAUGG